CAAUAGAAGAGAUGGCGACCGGCGCACGGGUGAGUAACACGUAUCCAACCUACCGAUAACUCCGGAAUAGCCUUUCGAAAGAAAGAUUAAUACCGGAUAGUAUACGAAUAUCGCAUGAUAUUUUUAUUAAAGAAUUUCGGUUAUCGAUGGGGAUGCGUUCCAUUAGUUUGUUGGCGGGGUAACGGCCCACCAAGACUACGAUGGAUAGGGGUUCUGAGAGGAAGGUCCCCCACAUUGGAACUGAGACACGGUCCAA
rnacentral:rRNA from 1 species